rnacentral:rRNA from 1 species
UACGGAGGGUGCAAGCGUUAUCCGGAUUUACUGGGUUUAAAGAGCGCGUAGGCGGUCCGGUAAGUCAGCUGUGAAAGUCAAGGGCUCAACCCUUGAAAGCCGGUUGAUACUGUCGGGCUAGAGUCCGGAAGAGGCGAGUGGAAUUCCCGGUGUAGCGGUGAAAUGCGUAGAUAUCGGGAAGAACACCAGUGGCGAAGGCGGCUGCCUGGCCUGUAACUGACGCUGAGACGCGAAAGCGUGGGGAGCAAACAGG